ACAGUGAGCUUGAACAAGAUGACUUCAGAGUCCUGAGGUCCUUCACUAGGACAGACCUGACUGUAGUGGUUUGAAUAUGCUUGGCUGUCCUAUAACUUAAUGUAUAAACUGACUUUGAACUCAGAUAUCUACAUGCCUCUGUAUCCUGAUUGCUGGGACUAAAAUAGGGCUUCAGGAAAGACAGCUAUGCUUCCAUCCUACUAUCUUUCCACAGCCUCAAGACUUUUGGUGUUUAAUGGAGAGAAGAGUAGGAAAGAGCAAAAAGGGUUUUCCAUAAUAGAAAGUAACACCAGCUUUUGGCAGCAACCCUGAAGCCACCUCCAAAGACAAGGCAACAACAGACUCCAUCUGGAUCUUGCUUCAAGUAUGGUGCACUGGACAUUAGGGAAAAGAAAUGCCUCACUCAUCAUCCUAUGGACACUAGAGUAUUGACUGCCCCACACUGUCACAUAGACAGUUGCUCCAUAAGAAUAUCUCUUAGAUCUUUUGGGCCUGCUGGCUGAAGACAGACACUGCUCUAGGUACUAAAGAUCUACCCUAGAACCUUGGCCCCAGCAACCAUGGAGGAUCCCAGGUAGCUACCAGAUCUUAAAGCUGCAGAGAGGAUGAUGAGAAUGAAAAAAUAUCCAAGUGAGACUAACGUGAAGAUGAUGUGACCUAUGUGAUGUGAAAGCCAGAAGAGGAGCUAUUUGAUGGAAAGCAGAAGGGAAAACCCAGAGGAGACAAGAAAAUGGGGAAGAAUGUAGAAAAGGAUGACAAACAUGGACACAGAAUAAUAUAUAAAUGUAUAAAAAUACUACCACAAAACUCAAUACACAGAAUUUUAACUUAAAAAAUAUAGGCAUUUAAAAUAACUAAAGUUUAUAAAUCUGUAAAAUUAUAUUUAUGUCAUGGGACAACACCUACCAAAAACAAAUUAUGGAAAAGCUUGAAACAGUACCAUAGUGCUUAUAGCUGAGAUCAUUUAUUUUAACUGCUAGUGUUUAACACAGCAGAAUGUCUUAGAUGAAUUUGUAAAAACAUUUACCUGCGAUGUACAUAAACUUUACUUGCUGCUCUCAAA